UACGAAGGGGGCUAGCGUUGUUCGGAUUUACUGGGCGUAAAGCGCACGUAGGCGGAUUGUUAAGUCAGAGGUGAAAUCCUGGAGCUCAACUCCAGAACUGCCUUUGAUACUGGCAAUCUCGAGUCCGGAAGAGGUGAGUGGAACUCCUAGUGUAGAGGUGGAAUUCGUAGAUAUUAGGAAGAACACCAGUGGCGAAGGCGGCACUCACGUUG
rnacentral:rRNA from 1 species